rnacentral:lncRNA from 1 species
AACAAGGCGCCAAUUUCCGAUGUUUCCCCAAAUCCUAAUCCCCUCUCUCCCCCCCAAAUCCCUAAACGACCAAUCAUCCUCACAAGAUUCUGCAUCAUCGGGAUUCCGAUCAGGAGCUUGAACGAGGAGUUUCGAGAUCCCCUCUGUUCUCAAUCGAGCAAGAUUGAUAGAGGCGUCGCCAUUGAUCGGGAUGAUGACAUCGAAGAGUUCUCUGCUCCAGGAGAUUUUUUCUCGGCGGG